rnacentral:rRNA from 1 species
UGGUCAAGUUAUUAAGGGUGCAGGGCGGAUGCCUUGGCACUAGGAGCCGAUGAAGGACGUGAUAAGCUGCGAUAAGCUUCGGGGAGUUGCACGUAAACUUUGAUCCGAAGAUUUCCGAAUGAGGAAACUCACUUAGAGUAAUGUCUAAGUAUCAUUAAGUGAAUACAUAGCUUAAUGAGGGGAACUCAGGGAACUGAAACAUCUAAGUACCUGAAGGAAGAGAAAGAAAUUCGAUUCCGUAAGUAGCGGCGAGCGAACGCGGAUUAGCCCAAACCAAUA